rnacentral:rRNA from 1 species
GAUGAACGCUGGCGGCGUGCUUAACACAUGCAAGUCGAACGGACGAUGAAGAGCUUGCUCUUCAGAGUUAGUGGCGGACGGGUGAGUAACGCGUGGGUAACCUGCCUCAUACAGGGGGAUAGCAGCUGGAAACGGCUGAUAAAACCGCAUAAGCGCACAGCAUCGCAUGAUGCAGUGUGAAAAACUCCGGUGGUAUGAGAUGGACCCGCGUCUGAUUAGCUUGUUGGUGAGGUAACGGCCCACCAAGGCGACGAUCAGUAGCCGGCCUGAGAGGGUGACCGGCCACAUUGGGACUGAGACACGGCCCAAACUCCUACGGGAGGCAGCAGUGGGGAAUAUUGCACAAUGGGGGAAACCCUGAUGCAGCGACGCCGCGUGAAGGAAGAAGUAUCUCGGUAUGUAAACUUCUAUCAGCAGGGAAGAUAAUGACGGUACCUGACUAAGAAG